UUAAAGAUGAUGAUUGGGUAGAGUAAUCUGCCUACCCCCUGCAGAGAGGAGAUGUCAGCGGCUGAAAGCAUCUCCGGGGCAAUGGACAGGUGAAGUGCACCCAUGAAUCGGAAGGUCGAAAACGUACAAAAGGUACAGAGUAGACUUUCACGGAGACGCUCCGUUAUGCGAAUAAGAUGGGUUUUCCCAAUUAGAGUGGAACCGCGAAAUUAAAACGCCUCUAUA
rnacentral:ncRNA from 1 species